rnacentral:rRNA from 1 species
ACGGCAGCACGGAGCUUGCUCUGGUGGCGAGUGGCGAACGGGUGAGUAAUAUAUCGGAACGUACCCUGGAGUGGGGGAUAACGUAGCGAAAGUUACGCUAAUACCGCAUACGAUCUAAGGAUGAAAGUGGGGGAUCGCAAGACCUCAUGCUCGUGGAGCGGCCGAUAUCUGAUUAGCUAGUUGGUAGGGUAAAAGCCUACCAAGGCAUCGAUCAGUAGCUGGUCUGAGAGGACGACCAGCCACACUGGAACUGAGACACGGUCCAGACUCCUACGGGAGGCAGCAGUGGGGAAUUUUGGACAAUGGGCGAAAGCCUGAUCCAGCAAUGCCGCGUGAGUGAAGAAGGCCUUCGGGUUGUAAAGCUCUUUUGUCAGGGAAGAAACGGUGAAGGCUAAUAUCCUUUGCUAAUGACGGUACCUGAAGAAUAAGCACCGGCUAACUACGUGCCAGCAGCCGCGGUAAUACGUAGGGUGCAAGCGUUAAUCGGAAUUACUGGGCGUAAAGCGUGCGCAGGCGGUUUUGUAAGUCUGAUGUGAAAUCCCCGGGCUCAACCUGGGAAUUGCAUUGGAGACUGCAAGGCUAGAAUCUGGCAGAGGGGGGUAGAAUUCCACGUGUAGCAGUGAAAUGCGUAGAU